CGGGUUGUAAAGCACUUUCAGUAGGGAGGAAGGUAGUGUAGUUAACACCUGCACUAUUUGACGUUACCUACAGAAGAAGCACCGGCUAACUCCGUGCCAGCAGCCGCGGUAAUACGGAGGGUGCGAGCGUUAAUCGGAAUUACUGGGCGUAAAGACGCAUGCAGGCGGCCUGUUAAGUCAGAUGUGAAAGACCCGGGGCGUUAACCUCGGAAUUGCAUUUGAAACUAGGCAGGCUAGAGUCUUGUAGAGGGGGGUAGGAAUUUCAGGUGUAGCGGUGAAAUGCGUAGAGAUCUGAAGGAAUACCAGUGGCGAAGGCGGCCCCCUGGACAAAGACUGACGCUCAGAUGCGAAAGCGUGGGGAGCAAACAGGAUUAGAUACCCUUGGAG
rnacentral:rRNA from 1 species